UCUGUAGCGCAGUUGGUAGCGCGUCGCAUUCGUAAUGCGCAGGUCGGGGGUUCGAGUCCCCCCAG
rnacentral:tRNA from 1 species